CCUACGGGAGGCAGCAGUAGGGAAUCUUGGACAAUGGGCGCAAGCCUGAUCCAGCCAUGCCGCGUGAGUGAAGAAGGCCUUCGGGUUGUAAAGCUCUUUUGCCAGGGACGAUAAUGACGGUACCUGGAGAAUAAGCCCCGGCAAACUUCGUGCCAGCAGCCGCGGUAAUACGAAGGGGGCUAGCGUUGUUCGGAAUUACUGGGCGUAAAGCGCACGUAGGCGGAUGAUUAAGUCAGGGGUGAAAUCCCGAGGCUCAACCUCGGAACUGCCCUUGAUACUGGUCAUCUCGAGUCCGGAAGAGGUGAGUGGAAUUCCCAGUGUAGAGGUGAAAUUCGUAGAUAUUGGGAAGAACACCGGUGGCGAAGGCGGCUCACUGGUCCGGAACUGACGCUGAGGUGCGAAAGCGUGGGGAGCAAACAGGAUUAGAUACCCUUGUAGUC
rnacentral:rRNA from 1 species